AGAACGAACGCUGGCGGCAUGCCUAACACAUGCAAGUCGAACGAGACCUUCGGGUCUAGUGGCGCACGGGUGCGUAACGCGUGGGAAUCUGCCCUUAGGUACGGAAUAACAGUGAGAAAUUACUGCUAAUACCGUAUGAUGUCUUCGGACCAAAGAUUUAUCGCCUAGGGAUGAGCCCGCGUAGGAUUAGCUAGUUGGUGGGGUAAAGGCCUACCAAGGCGACGAUCCUUAGCUGGUCUGAGAGGAUGAUCAGCCACACUGGGACUGAGACACGGCCCAGACUCCUACGGGAGGCAGCAGUGGGGAAUAUUGGACAAUGGGCGAAAGCCUGAUCCAGCAAUGCCGCGUGAGUGAAGAAGGCCUUCGGGUUGUAAACCUCUUUCAAGUGGGGACGAUAAUGACGGUACCGCAGAAGAAGCUCCGGCCAACUACGCGCCAGCAGCCGC
rnacentral:rRNA from 1 species